CACACUGGUUCCCCUACGAUCACCGAAAUUAAGCAACGUCGAGCCUGUUCAGUACCUAGAUGGGUGCCCGCUUGGGAGUAGUAGGUGCUGUAAG